AUUAACCUAAAUUAACACCCACCAGCCCACAGAGACAGCAAGCAGAACAAAACCAGGAAGCUUUCCUGUUUAGAUUUUAGAGCUUAUACUACCAUGUGAUGUAAAUUUCUAUCACUUGAUCCCUCUGGAAGGGUUGAGCUUUUAUGUUUUAGAAUCAUUGUCAAGAUUACCCUCAUAAUCCAGAAAGAAGAAAUGCGUUUGCUUGAUUGUGCUUAUUUUCCAUAAGUAAUAGACAAUCACACAAAUAGAUAAAUGUUUCUCACAUUUUUUAAAUUUCUGCAAGAAAGAAAACUCCAAUCUCAUCUUGAAAUUCUUAUAUCUUCCUCCAGUUGGUUAGGACUCACCUAAGACAGCAGAAUCAUGAAAGUGACAUAUCAGUGGAGAUGUGAUUAUCGACCUGU
rnacentral:lncRNA from 1 species